rnacentral:misc_RNA from 1 species
UCCCCGUUAUCCUGGGCUGUCACCUACAUGUCAAGCCCAGGUAAGGUUCUUCGCGUUGCGUCGAAUUAAACCACAUGCUCCGCUGCUUGUGCGGGCCCCCGUCAAUUCCUUUGAGUUUUAGCCUUGCGGCCGUACUCCCCAGGCGGGGCACUUAAUGCGUUAGCGCCGGCACGGGAGGAGUCGACACCUCCCACACCUAGUGCCCAUCGUUUACGGCGUGGACUAC